UCUCCGUAGGUGAACCUGCGGAGGGAUCAUUACAGAGUUCAUGCCCUACCGGGUAAAUCUCCCACCCUAUGUUAUUAUUACUUUGUUGCUUUGGCGGGCCGUUAGGCUCCGGCCCGACUACCGGCCCCGGCUGGUAAGCGCCCGCCAGAGGACCCAAAACCCUGAAUAUUAGUGUCGUCUGAGUACUAUAUAAUAGUUAAAACUUUCAACAACAGAUCUCUUGGUUCUG
rnacentral:misc_RNA from 1 species